rnacentral:rRNA from 1 species
GACGAACGCUGGCGGCGUGCUUAACACAUGCAAGUCGAACGGAAAGGCCCUGCUUUUGUGGGGUGCUCGAGUGGCGAACGGGUGAGUAACACGUGAGUAACCUGCCCUUGACUUUGGGAUAACUUCAGGAAACUGGGGCUAAUACCGGAUAGGAGCUCCUGCUGCAUGGUGGGGGUUGGAAAGUUUCGGCGGUUGGGGAUGGACUCGCGGCUUAUCAGCUUGUUGGUGGGGUAGUGGCUUACCAAGGCUUUGACGGGUAGCCGCCCUGAGAGGGUGACCGGCCACAUUGGGACUGAGAUACGGCCCAGACUCCUACGGGAGGCAGCAGUGGGGAAUAUUGCACAAUGGGCGGAAGCCUGAUGCAGCAACGCCGCGUGCGGGAUGACGGCCUUCGGGUUGUAAACCGCUUUCGCCUGUGACGAAGCGUGAGUGACGGUAAUGGGUAAAGAAGCACCGGCUAACUACGUG